rnacentral:tRNA from 1 species
GCCGACGUGGCUCAAUGGUUGAGCAUCUACCUGUGAAGCAGGAGGUGGCUGGUUCGAUUCCUGGUCAGGGCA